AUGAAGAAACCCUGGAAUCCUAUUUCUUCCCAAGACAAUGUCCCAUGUACUGCAGAUUUCACUUGUUUGCAUGAAAGAGAAAGUGAGACAGAAUUAGCACCUGAUGAUAGUGAAGAAAAGCAAGAACGGGAGAAGAAACAUACCAGUUUUACAUUGUGCAGUGUGUGCAACAUUCAGCUGAACUCUGCUGCUCAGGCACAGAUCCAUUAUAAUGGGAAAUCUCAUCAGAAAAGGUUAAAACAGCUCAGCAAUGGAAAUCUCAAAAGUGACCAUGGAGGUACAUGCCAGAGCCCUGCUCUUCCAGCACUGGUACGUCCUCCAGCCCCACCCUUGCAGCCAUCGCUGGAUAUCAAACCUUUUCUUCCAUUUCCUCUGGAUACUGCGGCAGCUGUAAAUCUCUUCCCCAACUUCAAUGCAUUUCAGAACAAGAAUGUGCACAUCUCUUGGCCACAGUUCUGCAACUCAGUUAUAUCCAAAAAAUUACCAGGGCUGGCUCUGGGUAGAGAAGAUUCAAAAGAGGUAGGGACUAACUUUGGAAGUCUACUGAUCGGAGAAAUGGACCCAAUUCAAAAAGCAGUAAUAAAUCAUACGUUUGGGGUUCCUCUUCCUCACAGAAGAAAGCAAAUAAUAUCGUGCAACAUUUGUCAGUUAAGAUUUAACUCAGAUAGCCAGGCUGCGGCCCACUACAAAGGCACUAAACAUGCCAAGAAGCUCAAAGCACUGGAAGCCAUGAAAAAUAAGCAGAAAUCUGUAACUACCAAGGACACCGCAAAGACUGCCUUCACUUCCAUCACUACCAAUACCAUCAAUACCAGCUCUGACAAAACAGCAGACAAUACAACAGGGACACCAGCAAUAUCAACAACCACAGCAGUUGAAAUUCGGAAAAGCAGCGACAUGACAACUGAGAUCACCUCUAAAGCUGAAAAGCUCCCCGCAACAGUCGCUAUCAGCAACACGUGUUCUUCGGGAGAGACGGAGGAAGAAAAGGCCAAGCGACUCCUUUACUGUUCACUAUGCAAGGUUGCCGUCAACUCCGCCUCACAGUUGGAGGCUCACAACAGUGGCACAAAGCACAAAACUAUGUUGGAAGCACGAAAUGGAAGUGGAACCAUCAAAGCCUUUCCCCGGGCAGGUGUCAAAGGCAAAGGACCCAUUAAUAAAGGAAACACGGGACUUCAGAACAAAACAUUUCACUGUGAAAUCUGCGAUGUGCAUGUAAAUUCUGAGACACAACUUAAACAGCACAUAAGCAGUAGAAGGCACAAAGACAGAGCUGCUGGGAAGCCCCCGAAACCCAAAUACAGCCCCUACAACAAACUCCAGAAGGGAACACACCCUCUCGGGGUAAAAUUAGUAUUUUCAAAGGAACCUACCAAACCAAUGGCUCCACGCAUCCUACCAAAUCCUCUCGCAGCUGCCGCAGCGGCUGCCGCCGUGGCUGUCAAUUCCCCUUUCAGUCUUCGAACAGCCCCACCAGCCACCCUCUUUCAGACUUCAGCCCUUCCUCCGGCACUUCUCCAACCGGCCCCGGGGCCUAUACGGACCACCCACACUCCCGUGCUCUUUGCUCCUUACUGAACUCCACAAAGGGAUUAAUUGUACUGCAAUAAUUUUUCAGAGCAAAAGCAAAACAAGAACAAUGAACUAUGCAGUGUUUAUUUAUAAACUGAACAAAUUCUAAAGAGAGGAAGAGGCAGUAUUUUCUCCAGAAGGAAGCAUUUCUCUUGAACUUCGACCAUUUAAAAA